AUUGAACGCUGGCGGCAUGCCUAACACAUGCAAGUCGAACGGAGGUAGGGGCAACUCUACUUCAGUGGCGGAUGGGUGAGGAAUGCGUCGGAAUCUACCCUAUGGUGGGGGAUAACACAGGGAAACUUGUGCUAAUACCGCAUAAUGUCGAGAGACCAAAGCAGGGGACCGCAAGGCCUUGCGCGAUAGGAUGAGCCGACGCCCGAUUAGCUAGUUGGUAGGGUAAAGGCCUACCAAGGCGACGAUCGGUAGCUGGUCUGAGAGGAUGAUCAGCCACACUGGGACUGAGACACGGCCCAGACUCCUACGGGAGGCAGCAGUGGGGAAUAUUGGACAAUGGGCGCAAGCCUGAUCCAGCAAUGCCGCGUGUGUGAAGAAGGCCUGCGGGUUGUAAAGCACUUUUGUUCGGGAAGAAAUCAUGCUGGUUAAUACCUGGUAUGGAUGACGGUACCGAAAGAAUAAGCACCGGCUAACUUCGUGCCAGCAGCCGCGGUAAUACGAAGGGUGCAAGCGUUAAUCGGAAUUACUGGGCGUAAAGGGUGCGUAGGCGGCCUUUUAAGUCGGAUGUGAAAUCCCCGGGCUCAACCUGGGAAUGGCAUUCGAUACUGGGAGGCUAGAGUUUGGGAGAGGGUGGUGGAAUUCCCGGUGUAGCGGUG
rnacentral:rRNA from 1 species